rnacentral:rRNA from 1 species
UACGUAGGGGGGCAAGCGUUGUCCGGAAUCAUUGGGCGUAAAGCGCGCGUAGGCGGCCCGGUAAGUCCGUUGUGAAAGUCAAAGGCUCAACCUUUGAACGCCGAUGGAUACUGCCGGGCUAGAGUCCCGGAAGAGGCGAGUGGAAUUCCUGGUGUAGCGGUGGAAUGCGCAGAUAUCAGGAGGAACACCAAUAGCGAAGGCAGCUCGCUGGGACGGUACUGACGCUGAGGCGCGAAAGCGUGGGGAGCGAACAGG